GUUCCUGUAGUUGAAUAACAACGGUGGUUUUUCAAGUCAUUAGCCUUGGUUAGAGUCCGAGUGGGAAUU
rnacentral:tRNA from 1 species